rnacentral:rRNA from 1 species
UUGAUCCUGGCUCAGGAUGAACGCUGGCGGCGUGCUUAACACAUGCAAGUCGAACGGUGAACACGGAGCUUGCUCUGUGGGAUCAGUGGCGAACGGGUGAGUAACACGUGAGCAACCUGCCCCUGACUCUGGGAUAAGCGCUGGAAACGGCGUCUAAUACUGGAUAUGUGACGUGAUCGCAUGGUCUGCGUCUGGAAAGAAUUUCGGUUGGGGAUGGGCUCGCGGCCUAUCAGCUUGUUGGUGAGGUAAUGGCUCACCAAGGCGUCGACGGGUAGCCGGCCUGAGAGGGUGACCGGCCACACUGGGACUGAGACACGGCCCAGACUCCUACGGGAGGCAGCAGUGGGGAAUAUUGCACAAUGGGCGCAAGCCUGAUGCAGCAACGCCGCGUGAGGGAUGACGGCCUUCGGGUUGUAAACCUCUUUUAGCAGGGAAGAAGCGAAAGUGACGGUACUGCAG